UGCAUUUCAUAGUCUCACUCAAUCAAGAGGCCAAUAAUAUCACUCCUAAAAUAGGAGGGUUAAAUCCUUUCUAGAUCAUUCAUAUUUCUCAUAUGAUUCAUAAUAUUCCCAAUAUACAUUUUAUCAUCACCUGGUCAAGGGUAAUUUUUAAUGCAACCAAAGUAUAUUAAUUCUCAUAUAGAAAUAUAAUGAUAUCAAGUCAGAGGAUCAUUACAUCAUUAUCACAGUGAAAAUUUCU
rnacentral:lncRNA from 1 species